UAGGGGAUCUUGCUUAAUGGGCGCAAGCCUGAAGCAGCAACGCCGCGUGUGCGAUGACGGCCUUCGGGUUGUAAAGCACUUUUGGUCGGGAAGAGGAAGGACGGUGCCGGCCGAAUAAGCCUCGGCUAACUACGUGCCAGCAGCCGCGGUAAAACGUAGGAGGCGAGCGUUAUCCGGAUUUACUGGGUGUAAAGCGCGUGUAGGCGGCCGGUCAAGUUGGAUGUGAAAGCUCCUGGCUCAACCGGGAGAGGACGUUCAAAACUGACCGGCUGGAGCAUGGUAGGGGAAGGUGGAAUUCCGGGUGGAGUGGUGAAAUGCGUAGAGAUCCGGAGGAACACCAGUGGCGAAGGCGGCCUUUUAGACCAUGUCUGACGCUCAGACGCGAAAGCUAGGGUAGCAAACGG
rnacentral:rRNA from 1 species